rnacentral:siRNA from 1 species
UCGCUGUCGCUGGUUUCAGUC